rnacentral:rRNA from 1 species
GACGAACGCUGGCGGCGUGCUUAACACAUGCAAGUCGAGCGGUAAGGCCCUUUCGGGGGUACACGAGCGGCGAACGGGUGAGUAACACGUGGGUGACCUGCCCUCAGCUCUGGGAUAAGCCUGGGAAACCGGGUCUAAUACUGGAUAUGACUCCAUGACGCAUGUUGUGGGGUGGAAAGCCUUGUGCGGCUGAGGAUGGGCCCGCGGCCUAUCAGCUUGUUGGUGGGGUGAUGGCCUACCAAGGCGACGACGGUAGCCGGCCUGAGAGGGCGACCGGCCACACUGGACUGAGACACGGCCCAGACUCCUACGGGAGGCAGCAGUGGGGAAUCUUGCGCAAUGGGCGAAAGCCUGACGCAGCGACGCCGCGUGAGGAUGACGG